CACCGCCCGUCACACCAUGGGAGUUGGUUUGACCUGAAGACGGUGCGCUAACUGCAAGGAGGCAGCCGGCCACGGUCAGGUCAGCGACUGGGGUG
rnacentral:rRNA from 1 species